rnacentral:rRNA from 1 species
CCUACGGGUGGCUUCAGUGGGGAAUAUUGGACAAUGGGCGAAAGCCUGAUCCAGCCAUGCCGCGUGUGUGAAGAAGGCCUUCGGGUUGUAAAGCGCUUUCAGUGGGGAAGAAAGCCUUGGGGCUAAUACCCUCGAGGAAGGACAUCACCCACAGAAGAAGCACCGGCUAACUCCGUGCCAGCAGCCGCGGUAAUACGGGAGGGUGCGAGCGUUAAUCGGAAUUACUGGGCGUAAAGCGCGCGUAGGCGGUCUGAUAAGCCGGUUGUGAAAGCCCCGGGCUCAACCUGGGAACGGCAUCCGGAACUGUCAGGCUAGAGUGCAGGAGAGGAAGGUAGAAUUCCCGGUGUAGCGGUGAAAUGCGUAGAGAGCGGGAGGAAUACCAGUGGCGAAGGCGGCCUUCUGGACUGACACUGACGCUGAGGUGCGAAAGCGUGGGUAGCAAACAGGAUUAGAUACCCCAGUAGUC